ACCUGUGGUAUGCUGAGAAAGGCUGGUGAAAUUGUACUCAGCCUUCACACCUCAGGUUAGAUGUCAUUUCCUAUGAGAAGCCCGCCUCGUUCAGGACGUCCAUGAUCUCUCACAGCCUUCUGUGUUCCCUCCUCAACACGGUGUUUUAUAGCUUUUUAAAAAAUUCUGUGAUCAUAUUAUGCUCAGCAAACAGAGAGAGACUAUUCUUGUUCCCUGUGCCUAGGAUGUGCUUGAUGUAUGGAUCUGUCUCCAGCGGGACCAGAAAACCAUAUGUGGCAAUACUUAUAAACUGCCUCUAGCUAUAUAGAUUAAUACAGAAUCAUCUUUCUGUAUGAGUUUUCCACCAAUAAACAUGUGUAGAUAUAAGCAAAGUGUGUGUUUUAUAACUGCUCCCUGGGCAGUUCUAAAUGACAAAGCAUUCGUGCUGGCAGCACCCUCUACUUCUCACUUACUCCUCCAGGCCUCUGGCGAACACAGGGCUCAGAGGAACUACCUUCUUCAAGAAUCACGGACGUGGCUGGUUUUCUCAGGAAGGGGUCUCGGCUGAGCAUUAAAAUAAAACGGUGCUUGGUUUUUGUACAGGAGAAAAAAGUAUAUUGAAGUGGAAUAGUUGGUC
rnacentral:lncRNA from 1 species